AAUUAAAGUUAAAAAGUGUCUAAUGAUGAGGACUCAGGGCAGAUUCUGAGGUGAGAACUGAACUCAUCACUGAUACUUGUUUGAUGCAGUCUGAAGACACUUGAAAGACU